AUAAUCUCUUGCUGUAUCUGUUGAAGUGUACUUCAAUAUUUCUUCCUCUUCCUCAGAAGAAGCACCAUCAGAUUUGUGGCCGUUCCGUUUCCAAAUUGUUCUCCAACUUCCCAAGAGGCAUGCCUAAGUCUAGAGCUCCGCAUCAUCCACCAAGACACAAAGUUAAGAGGCAAAGGGUGGUUAAGAAGAGACUUCUAUGAGGUAUGUAUCGAAUGUCACACGGUUUGAUAUUUUGUAAUUUAUUCUUAUUCUCUCAUCUAUCCUAUAUUUUAUUAUCUCUUCAUUUAAUUAAUUAAAUAUUGUUUUUUAAAAUUUUUAAAAAAAUGCAUCACUUAAAUUAGGUGGAGAGACUAGAGAUUAAUGAUUUAUUUUGUCUAGCCAUAUCACGGCUACUAGAAGAACUCAUCCCCAUAUUUAUCAAUUCAUUAACUAGAAGAAAAAUUCAAUGAAAUGAUGAGCGAUUCUUUGAAGCAUGAUAUUUUCUUAUUAGAUAGAGUAAUUUAUUCCCAUUGAUCACCAAUAAA